rnacentral:rRNA from 1 species
UAGGGAAUAUUAGAAAUGGACGAAAGUCUGAUCUAGCAACACCGCGUGUGCGAAGAAGGCCUUCGGGUUGUAAAGCACUUUUUGGAAGGAUUAGGAAGGAAUGUACUUCCAGAAUAAGUCUCGGCUAACUACGUGCCAGCAGCCGCGGUAACACGUAGGAGGCAAACGUUAUCCGGAUUUACUGGGCGUAAAGCGCGUGUAGGUGGUUCUGUAAGUAGGGCGUGAAAGCUCCUGGCUCAACUGGGAGAGGCCGUUCUAAACUGCAGAGCUAGAGGAUGGUAGAGGAAGGUGGAAUUCCGGGUGUAGUGGUGAAAUGCGCAGAUAUCUGGAGGAACACCAGUGGCGAAGGCGGCCUCCUGGACCAUUCCUGACACUCAGACGCGAAAGCUAGGGUAGCAAACG